rnacentral:rRNA from 1 species
UACGUAGGGCGCAAGCGUUAUCCGGAAUUAUUGGGCGUAAAGAGCUCGUAGGCGGUUUGUCGCGUCUGCCGUGAAAGUCCGGGGCUCAACUCCGGAUCUGCGGUGGGUACGGGCAGACUAGAGUGAUGUAGGGGGAGACUGGAAUUCCUGGUGUAGCGGUGAAAAUGCGCAGAUAUCAGGAGGAACACCGAGUGGCGAAGGCAGGUCUCUGGGCAUUAACUGACGCUGAGGAGCGAAAGCAUGGGGAGCGAACAGG